rnacentral:rRNA from 1 species
CUGGCGGCAGGCCUAACACAUGCAAGUCGAGCGGAAACGACACUAACUAUNCUUCGGGUGCNUUNAUGGGCGUCGAGCGGCGGACGGGUGAGUAAUGCCUAGGAAAUUGCCUUGAUGUGGGGGAUAACCAUUGGAAACGAUGGCUAAUACCGCAUAAUGCCUACGGGCCAAAGAGGGGGACCUUCGGGCCUCUCGCGUCAAGAUAUGCCUAGGUGGGAUUAGCUAGUUGGUGAGGUAAUGGCUCACCAAGGCGACGAUCCCUANCUGGUCUGAGAGGAUGAUCAGCCACACUGGAACUGAGACACGGUCCAGACUCCUACGGGAGGCANCAGUGGGGAAUAUUGNACAAUGGGCGAAAGCCUGAUGCANCCAUGCCGNGUGUAUGAAGAAGGCCUUCGGGUUGUAAAGUACUUUCAGUNGUGAGGAAGGGUGUGUAGUUAAUAGCUGCGCAUCUUGACGUUAGCAACAGAAGAAGCACCGGCUAACUCCGUGCCAGCAGCCGCGGUAAUACGGAGGGUGCGAGCGUUAAUCGGAAUUCUGGGCGUGAAGCGCAUGCAGGUGGUUCAUUAAGUCAGAUGUGAAAGCCCGGGGCUCAACCUCGGAACUGCAUUUGAAACUGGUGAACU